CGCAGCAGUCGCGAAAACUUCACAAUGGGGGCAACCCCGAUGAGGGAAUUCCUAGUGCUAGCUCUUUUUGAGUUAGCUUUUCUUUAGCGUAGAUAACUAAAGGAAUAAGGGCUGGGUAAGACGGGUGCCAGCCGCCGCGGUAAUACCUGCAGCCCAAGUGGUGGCCGAUAGUAUUGAGUCUAAAACGUUCGUAGCCGGUCUGGUAAAUCUUUGGGUAAAUCGGGGAGCUUAACUUUCCGACUUCUGAGGAGACUACCAGACUUGGGACCGGGAGAGGCUAGAGGUACUUCUGGGGUAGGGGUAAAAUCCUGUAAUCCUAGAAGGACCACCGGUGGCGAAGGCGUCUAGCUAGAACGGAUCCGACGGUGAGGGACGAAGCCCUGGGGCGCAAACGGGAUUAGAUACCCCGGUAGUCCAGGGUGUAAACGCUGCAGACUUGGUGUUGGAGAUCCUUCGAGGGUAUUCAGUGCCGGAGAGAAGUUGUUAAGUCUGCUACUUGGGGAGUACGUCCGCAAGGAUGAAACUUAAAGGAAUUGGCGGGGGAGCACCGCAACGGGAGGAGCGUGCGGUUUAAUUGGAUUCAACACCGGAAAACUCACCAGGGGAG
rnacentral:rRNA from 1 species